UGGGGAAUCUUCCGCAAUGGGCGCAAGCCUGACGGAGCGACGCCGCGUGAAGGAUGAAGGCCCUUACGGGUCGUAAACUUCUGUUCUGAGGGACGAAAUUUUUUGACGGUACCUCAGGAGAAAGUAUCGGCAAACCCUGUGCCAGCAGCCGCGGUAAGACAGGGGAUACAAGCGUUACUCGGAAUUACUGGGCGUAAAGCGUCUGUAGGUGCUUUGGUAAGUCUGUGGUAAAAGCUCGGGGCUCAACCCCGAGAGCGUCAUGGAAACUACCGAAGUUGAGCAGUAGAGAGGCAUCUGGAAUGCCGCAUGUAGGAGUAAAAUCCGUAGAUAUGCGGUAGAACGCCAAAAGCGUAGGCAGGAUGCUAGCUACUUGCUGACACUGAGAGACGAAAGCGUGGGGAGCGAAGCGGAUUAGAUACCCCAGUAGUCCCUGAGCGGGCUGGCAAGGCGCAU
rnacentral:rRNA from 1 species